UAAUGGGCUAUUCCAUUUAAUAUCCGUACCCCCCCUGUCGAGGAUACAUGUUUUUCAUUGUCAUACCCCUGAAGAAUUCCAAGCUCAAAACUGUUUACCCCUGAAGAAUUCCAAAAUUCCGAGCUCAAAACUCUUUACCCCUGAAGAAUUCCAAGCUCAAAACCUUUUACCCCUGAAGAAUUCCAAAAUUCCAAGCUCAAAAUCCUUUACCCCUGAAGAAUUCCAAGCUCAAAACCUUUUACCCCUGAAGAAUUCCAAAAUUCCAAGCUCAAAACCCUUUACCCCUGAAGAAUUCCAAGCUCAAAACCCUUUACCCCUGAAAAAUUCCAAGCUCGAAACCUUUUACCCCUGAAGAAUUCCAAGCUGAAAACCCUUUACCCCUGAAGAAUUCCAAGCUCUGAAAAAUUUCAAAUCAAACCUCCUUACCCCUGAAGAAUUCCAAGCUCAAAACUCUUUACCCCUGAAGAAUUCCAAGCUCAAAACCCUUUACCCCUGAAGAAUUCCAAGCUCAAAACACUUUACCCCUGAAGAAUUCCAAGCUCAAAACCCUUUACCCCUGAAGAAUUCCAGGGAUCCUCGACAGGGGGGUACGGAUAUUUAAUGGAAUAG